rnacentral:hammerhead_ribozyme from 17 species
UACAGGUGUAGUUGUACUACACUGAUGAGCCCCCAAGAAGGGCGAAACCGGUC